AUUUUAGUAAUUUACCGAGGGAACGCAACGACUCGAUCCCGUCGAGAAUCCAGCGGCGGGGAAUAGUGGUUAAAUUUGUCAGACCCCUCAUCGUCGCAACCCGCGCCUAACCCUGCGCUCUCUGUGGGAGCCCUUCGAAAUCCCUUAGGGUUCGCAAAGAUCCGCCAUUAGAUACUUGUUGGUCUUUAGCUUUCAGGACAUUUCUGGUCGAACUCGCUUCCCUCGAUCUCAGAUCUCGAUUCAUGUCCUCUAUUUAUCGGUUUUCUCCUCGAUUUUUCUGGGCGAUUUGAUCGAAAUCAGUGUUUUUUUUGAUUUUUUGAGCGAAUACCUGCUUCGCAGGAUCAUGUCGGAUCUCUGUCUUCGUGGCAGCGGAAGAAUCUUUGGAUUGUUCCACUGAAAGCAAGAAAGUUUGGAUUGUGGUGGGGUUUUGUUUGAGUAGGGAAAGAUGGAGGCGGGGGCGGCUUUGAGCUUGCAAUCCUGUUCCUGGAUCGGAUACGAGAAGGCCGGGAGGAAAUCUGGCGGGUUCUUGCUCUUCUCAAGGGGAUGUGGGGAGGAGAAGAGGUUUCAGACGCUUGGCCUCCGGGAUUCGAGGUCAAGGGUUGCGUUGGUUCGUUCUCGACAUCUUGAGUCGAAGGUUUCUUGCAGUCAUAAAAAGGCCGGAGCUUCAUCUGCAGAGUCACAAAGCUUUAAUGUUGCAGCUGAUGAAGCCCUCAUCCUAAAGAGAAAAGCAGAAGAUAUUACCUCCUCCUUAAAUGGGCAUUGUAUAUAUCUAGUUGGAAUGAUGGGUUCUGGUAAGACUACAGUGGGGAAGAUCCUAUCAGAAGUAUUAGGAUAUUCCUUUAUUGACAGUGACAAGCUGGUGGAGCAAGCUGUUGGUGUACCUUCUGUUGCCCAGAUAUUCAAGGAGUACAGUGAGGCAUUCUUUAGAGACAAUGAGAGUAAAGUGCUCAGGGACUUGUCAACAAUGCAUCGAUUAGUAGUUGCAACUGGAGGUGGUGCUGUUAUUCGACCGGUUAACUGGAAAUACAUGAAACAGGGGAUGACUGUCUGGUUAGAUGUGCCGCUGGAAGCUCUUGCAAGGCGGAUUGCUGCUGUAGGGACUGCCUCUCGGCCUCUUUUGCAUCAAGAGCCUGGUGAUCCAUAUACAAAGGUUGCAAGCUCGCCACUUAAUCAAAAUGACAUGCCAUAUUCUUAAUUUUCUUUGUCUGAAAGUGGUUUGCAAGCGGAGCAUGUUUAAUGUUUUGGGUCUCAGAAGGGACUAAACGUAGCAUGCCUUUUAAACUCUAGCCCUGGUCCUCUCUGUUAAUUUGCAAACUCCAUUCAUUUUUUGAGCAUUACUUUCCAUUUUUUUUACUUUCUAUGAUUUGACUGUAUAAUAUUGAUGCAUGGAAGCUUGGAUUUGAAGAUUCGUUAAGAGUUCUUUUCUAGCUGAACAUCAUGGGUUUGAAGGCCAAUACAGUGGAAAGACAGAAACAUGCUUGCAACACUUCUAGUUCUUAGUGGACUAUAUCAACAAAAAGUUUACGUUCCUGCUUUUGUGCGGCUCUCCACACUCUCUGAAAAAAGGGGGAAAGCCUAUGCCAAUGCUGAUGCAAGAGUUUGCCUUCAAACUAUUGCAGAGAAACAAGGCCACGAUGAUGUUUCUUCACUCACACCCACUGCUAUUGCGAUUGAGGCACUUUUAAAGAUCGAGAGCUUUCUUACCGAGAAGGCAUCUAUUGGACGAUCGCCAUAUCUUCAGGGUUGAAGAAUUGAGGCAACCCCAGAUCAUGUGUUGUGCUAGUAUUUCUUAACAUACUUUAUUGUAAAUAAGCAAACUUAUGAGUGGAAGAACUUAAAUUUAUAUGUAUUCCCCAAAUGUUCAUUCA